UACGUAGGGGGCGAGCGUUUGUCCGGAUUUAUUGGGCGUAAAGGGCUCGUAGGCGGUUUGUCGCGUCGGGAGUGAAAUCCACUGGCUUAACUGGUGGCUUGCUUUCGAUACGGGCAGACUGGAGGUAUGCAGGGGAGAACGGAAUUCCUGGUGUAGCGGUGAAAUGCGUAGAUAUCUGGAGGAAUACCGGUGGCGAAGGCGGCAUCCUGGACCGGCAUUGACGCUCAGGCACGAAAGCGUGGGGAGCAAACAGGG
rnacentral:rRNA from 1 species